UCUCCGUUGGUGAACCAGCGGAGGGAUCAUUAUCGAGUUUAUAACUCCCAAACCCUAUGUGAACUUACCACUUGUUGCUUCGGCGCGCGCUUCGGCGCCGCCGAGGACACUUAAACUCUUUGUUUUUAUAAGCAUUUCUGAGUGGCCGAAAGGCAAAAUACAAAUGAAUCAAAACUUUCAACAGCGGAUCUCUUGGUUCUG
rnacentral:misc_RNA from 1 species